CCGAACAUUUUCGUUAAAAGUCCGGGUUCGGGAGCCGAACUUGACUCCGAACCUGGACCCCAUUAAAUUCAAUGGGGAGCUGAACUUCACUUUAUUAUUUUUCGUUAUAACAUGGGUAUAACGAAAAUAAUAGAAUUUUUUACAGACAGAAUGCUAAAUA